rnacentral:rRNA from 1 species
CCUACGGGUGGCAGCAGUCGAGAAUCAUUCACAAUGGGGGAAACCCUGAUGGUGCGACGCCGCGUGGGGGAAUGAAGGUCUUCGGAUUGUAAACCCCUGUCAUGUGGGAGCAAAUUAAAAAGAUAGUACCACAAGAGGAAGAGACGGCUAACUCUGUGCCAGCAGCCGCGGUAAUACAGAGGUCUCAAGCGUUGUUCGGAAUCACUGGGCGUAAAGCGUGCGUAGGCUGUUUCGGAAGUCGUGUGUGAAAGGCGCGGGCUCAACCCGCGGACGGCACAUGAUACUGCGAGAUUAGAGUAAUGGAGGGGGAAGCGGAAUUCGCGGGGUAGCGGGGAGAGGCGUAGAUA